CGGUGUUUAACUGGCGUGAUGUGGGACGUCCUACCGGUGGGCUUAGCCUCGCGAGGGGCGGCCCAACUAAUAUCCCGUCGCGGUGCUCUUUACUGAGUGUCGAGUCGGGCCGGUACGUUUACUUUGAACAAAUUAGAGUGCUUAAAGCAGGCUAUCCUCGCCUGAAUACUGCGUGCAUGGAAUAAUGGAAUAGGACCUCGGUUCUAUUUUGUUGGUUUUCGGAACCCCGAGGUAAUGAUUAAUAGGGACAGAUGGGGGCAUUCGUAUUGCGACGUUAGAGGUGAAAUUCUUGGAUCGUCGCAAGACGGACAGAAGCGAAAGCAUUUGCCAAAAAUGUUUUCAUUAAUCAAGAACGAAAGUUAGAGGUUCGAAGGCGAUCAGAUACCGCCCUAGUUCUAACCAUAAACGAUGCCAGCUAGCGAUCCGCCGAAGUUCCUCCGAUGACUCGGCGGGCAGCUUCCGGGAAACCAAAGCUUUUGGGUUCCGGGGGAAGUAUGGUUGCAAAGCUGAAACUUAAAGGAAUUGACGGAAGGGCACCACCAGGAGUGGAGCCUGCGGCUUAAUUUGACUCAACACGGGAAACCUCACCAGGCCCAGACACCGGAAGGAUUGACAGAUUGAUAGCUCUUUCUUGAUUCGGUGGGUGGGUGGUGCAUGGCCGUUUUUAGUUGGUGGAGCGAUUUGUCUGGUUAAUUCUGAUAACGAACGAGACUCUAGCCUGCUAAAUAGGCGUACCUUAUGGUAUCGCGAAGGCCCCCGGCUUCGGCCGGUGGGUUUUUACUACCAACGUACAAACAAAUCUUCUAGAGGGACAGGCGG
rnacentral:rRNA from 1 species